rnacentral:rRNA from 1 species
GCUAAUACCGGAUAACGACAGAUGAUGCCUAUCAACUGUUUAAAAGAAUGGUUCUGCUAUCACUAUUGGAUGGACCUGCGGUGCAUUAGCUAGUUGGUAGGGUAACGGCCUACCAAGGCGAUGAUGCAUAGCCGAGUUGAGAGACUGAUCGGCCACAUUGGGACUGAGACACGGCCCAAACUCCUACGGGAGGCAGCAGCG